CCAGACUCCUACGGGAGGCAGCAGUGGGGAAUAUUGCACAAUGGGCGCAAGCCUGAUGCAGCGACGCCGCGUGAGGGAUGACGGCCUUCGGGUUGUAAACCUCUGUUAGCAUCGAAGAAGCGAAAGUGACGGUAGGUGCAGAGAAAGCGCCGGCUAACUACGUGCCAGCAGCCGCGGUAAUACGUAGGGCGCGAGCGUUGUCCGGAAUUAUUGGGCGUAAAGAGCUUGUAGGCGGUUGGUCGCGUCUGCUGUGAAAGGCCGGGGCUUAACUCCGGUUUUGCAGUGGGUACGGGCUAACUAGAGUGCAGUAGGGGAGACUGGAAUUCCUGGUGUAGCGGUGGAAUGCACAGAUAUCAGGAGGAACACCGAUGGCGAAGGCAGGUCUCUGGGCUGUAACUGACGCUGAGAAGCGAAAGCAUGGGGAGCGAACAGGAUUAGAUACCCUGGUAGUCCAUGCCGUAAACGGUGGGCACUAGGUGUGGGGGACAUUCCACGUUUUCCGCGCCGUAGCUAACGCAUUAAGUGCCCCGCCUGGGGAGUACGGCCGCAAGGCUAAAACUCAAAGGAAUUGACGGGGGCCCGCACAAG
rnacentral:rRNA from 1 species